UACGUAGGGGGCGAGCGUUGUCCGGAUUUAUUGGGCGUAAAGAGCGUGUAGGCGGCUUGGUAGGUCUCGCGUCAAAACCUGAGGCUCAACCUCAGUUCGCGUGGGAAACCACCUAGCUAGAGUCCGGAAGAGGAGAACGGAAUUCCCAGUGUAGCGGUGAAAUGCGUAGAUAUCUGGAGGAACACCGGUGGCGAAGGCGGCAUCCUGGACCAACACUGACACUGAGAGACGAAAGCCAGGGGAGCAAACGGG
rnacentral:rRNA from 1 species